ensembl:snRNA U6 U6 spliceosomal RNA
GUUUAUUCAGGAGGAAAGCACUUACACUAAUUGGAACGAUACACAGAAGAUUAGCAUAGCCCCUGCCCAAGGAUGGCAUGCCAAUUCGUGAAGCAUUCCAUAUUUUU